GGGGAUUUAGCUCAGCGGUAGAGCACUUGCCUAGGAAGCGCAAGGCCCUGGGUUCGGUCCCCAGCCCCG
rnacentral:tRNA from 1 species